GAGUUUGAUCGUGGCUCAGAUUGAACGCUGGCGGCAUGCCUUACACAUGCAAGUCGAACGGCAGCAUGAUCUAGCUCGCUAGAUUGAUGGCGAGUGGCGAACGGGUGAGUAAUACAUCGGAACGUGCCCUGUAGUGGGGGAUAACUAGUCGAAAGAUUAGCUAAUACCGCAUACGACCUGAGGGUGAAAGUGGGGGACCGCAAGGCCUCAUGCUAUAGGAGCGGCCGAUGUCUGAUUAGCUAGUUGGUGGGGUAAAGGCCCACCAAGGCGACGAUCAGUAGCUGGUCUGAGAGGACGAUCAGCCACACUGGGACUGAGACACGGCCCAGACUCCUACGGGAGGCAGCAGUGGGGAAUUUUGGACAAUGGGCGAAAGCCUGAUCCAGCAAUGCCGCGUGUGUGAGAAGG
rnacentral:rRNA from 1 species